UGGGGAAUAUUGCACAAUGGCGAAAGCCUGAUGCAGCGACGCCGCGUGAGGGAUGACGGCCUUCGGGUUGUAAACCUCUUUCAGCAGGGAAGAAGCGAAAGUGACGGUACCUGCAGAAGAAGCGCCGGCUAACUACGUGCCAGCGGCCGCGGUAAUACGUAGGGCGCAAGCGUUGUCCGGAAUUAUUGGGCGUAAAGAGCUCGUAGGCGGUUAGUCGCGUCUGCUGUGAAAACUCGAGGCUCAACCUCGGGCUUGCAGUGGGUACGGGCUGACUAGAGUGCGGUAGGGGUGACUGGAAUUCCUGGUGUAGCGGUGGAAUGCGCAGAUAUCAGGAGGAACACCGAUGGCGAAGGCAGGUCACUGGGCCGCAACUGACGCUGAGGAGCGAAAGCAUGGGGAGCGAACAGGAUUAGAUACCCUGGUAGUCCAUGCCGUAAAACGUUGGGCACUAGGUGUGGGGUCCAUUCCACGGAUUCCGUGCCGCAGCAAACGCAUU
rnacentral:rRNA from 1 species